rnacentral:rRNA from 1 species
CCUACGGGAGGCAGCAGUGAGGAAUAUUGGUCAAUGGGCGCUAGCCUGAACCAGCCAAGUAGCGUGAAGGAUGACGGCCCUAUGGGUUGUAAACUUCUUUUAUAUGGGAAUAAAAUGCAGUAUGUAUACUGCUUUGCAUGUACAUUAUGAAUAAGAAUAGGCUAACUCCGUGCCAGCAGCCGAGGUAAUACGGAGGAUACGAGGGUUAUCCGGAUUUAUUGGGGUUAAAGGGAGCGUAGGCGGGUUGUUAAGUCAGUAGUGAAAGUUUGCGGCUCAACCGUAAAAUUGCAGUUGAUAAUGGCAUCCUUGAGUACAGUAGAGGUAGGCGGAAUUCGUGGUGUAGCGGUGAAAUGCUUAGAUAUCACGAAGAACUCCGAUUGCGAAGGCAGCCUGCUGGACUGUAACUGACGCUGAUGCCCGAAAGUGUGGGUAUCAAACAGGAUUAGAUACCCGGGUAGUC